rnacentral:tRNA from 1 species
GCCGGGAUGGCGGAAUUGGUAGACGCGCACGACUCAAAAUCGUGUACCGCAAGGUGUGUGGGUUCGAUUCCCACUCUCGGCACCA